CAAGUCGAACGAUUAAAGCUCUCUUCGGAGAGUGCAUAGAGUGGCGCACGGGUGAGUAACACGUAAGUAAUCUACCUUUGAGUGGGGAAUAACGUCCGGAAACGGACGCUAAUACCGCAUAAUGCAGCGGCAUCGCAAGAUGACAGUUGUUAAAGAUUUAUCGCUUGAAGAGGAGCUUGCGGCAGAUUAGCUAGUUGGUAAGGUAAUGGCUUACCAAGGCUACGAUCUGUAACCGGUCUAAGAGGACGGUCGGUCACACUGACACUGAACAACGGGUCAGACUCCUACGGGAGGCAGCAGUCGGGAAUUUUGGGCAAUGGGCGAAAGCCUGACCCAGCAACGCCGCGUGAAGGAUGAAGUAUUUCGGUAUGUAAACUUCGAAAGAAUGGGAAGAAUAAAUGACGGUACCAUUUAUAAGGUCCGGCUAACUACGUGCCAGCAGCCGCGGUAAUACGUAGGGACCAAGCGUUGUUCGGAUUUACUGGGCGUAAAGGGCGCGUAGGCGGCUUGACAAGUCACUUGUGAAAUCUCCGGGCUUAACUCGGAACGGCCAAGUGAAACUGUCAUGCUAGAGUGCAGAAGGGGCAAUCGGAAUUCUUGGUGUAGCGGUGAAAUGCGUAGAUAUCAAGAGGAACACCUGAGGUGAAGACGGGUUGCUGGGCUGACACUGACGCUGAGGCGCGAAAGCCAGGGGAGCAAACGGGAUUAGAUACCCCGGUAGUCCUGGCCCUAAACGAUGAAUACUUGGUGUCUGGAGUUAUUAGUGCUCCGGGUGCCGUCGCUAACGUUUUUAGUAUUCCCGCCUGGGGAGUACGCUCGCAAGAGUGAAACUCAAAGGAAUU
rnacentral:rRNA from 1 species